AACGAACGCUGGCGGCAGGCUUAACACAUGCAAGUCGAACGCCCCGCAAGGGGAGUGGCAGACGGGUGAGUAACGCGUGGGAACAUACACUUUCCUGCGGAAUAGCUCUGGGAAACUGGAAUUAAUACCGCACACGCCCUACGGGGGAACGAUUUAUCGGGGAAGGAUUGGCCCGCGUUGGAUUAGCUAGUUGGUGGGGUAAAGGCCUACCAAGGCGACGAUCCAUAGCUGGUCUGAGAGGAUGAUCAGCCACAUUGGGACUGAGACACGGCCCAAACGCCUACGGGAGGCAGCAGUGGGGAAUAUUGGACAAUGGGCGCAAGCCUGAUCCAGCCAUGCCGCGUGAGUGAUGAAGGCCUUAGGGUUGUAUAGCUCUUUCACCGAUGAAGAUAAUGACGGUAGUCGGAGAAGAAGCCCCGGCUAACAUCGUGCCAGCCGCCGCCGUAAUAC
rnacentral:rRNA from 1 species